rnacentral:rRNA from 1 species
GAUCAAGCUACAAAGGGCGCACGGUGAAUGCCCUGGCACUAGGAGCCGAUGAAGGACGUGAUAAGCUGCGAUAAGCUACAUGUAGGCGCACAUAGCCUGUGAUAUGUAGAUUUCCGAAUGGGGAAACCCAUCUAGUUAUGCUAGAUACUGUAUACUGAAUUCAUAGGUAUAUGGAGGUACACCUGGGGAACUGAAACAUCUAAGUACCCAGAGGAAGAGAAAGAAAAUUCGAUUCCCUAAGUAGCGGCGAGCGAAAGGGGAAGAGCCCAAACCAGGAACUUGUUCCUGGGGUUGCGGAUAGAUCAUAACGCUUUGAUUUCUUUAGUUGAAGAGAACUGGAAAGUUCCGUCGUAGAAGGUAAUAACCCUGUAGGCGAAAAGGAAAGAAAAGUAGAUCUACUCCAGAGUACCACGAGACACGUGAAACCUUGUGGGAAGCUGGGAGGACCAUCUCCCAAGGCUAAAUACUACCUAGUGACCGAUAGUGAAGCAGUACCGUGAGGGAAAGGUGAAAAGAACCCCGGAAGGGGAGUGAAAUAGAAUCUGAAACCGUGUGCCUACAAUCGGUCGGAGCACAUUAAAGUGUGACGGCGUACUUUUUGUAGAACGGGCCAGCGAGUUACGAUAUAUAGCAAGGUUAAGCACUUAUGGUGUGGAGCCGAAGGGAAACCGAGUCUGAAUAGGGCAACUAGUUGUAUAUUGUAGACCCGAAACCGGGUGACCUAUCCAUGGCCAGGAUGAAGCGGAAGUAAAAUUCCGUGGAGGUCCGAACCACGUUGGUGUUGAAAAACCAUGGGAUGAGCUGUGGAUAGCGGAGAAAUUCCAAUCGAACUCGGAGAUAGCUGGUUCUCCUCGAAAUAGCUUUAGGGCUAGCGUCGGGUAAUUGAGUAGUGGAGGUAGAGCACUGAAUGGGCUAGGGGCUGACAACAGUUACUGAACCCUAUCAAACUCCGAAUGCCAUAUACUUGUACCCCGGCAGUCAGACUACGAAUGAUAAGAUCCGUGGUCAAAAGGGAAACAGCCCAGACCAUCAGCUAAGGUCCCAAAGUGUAAGUUAAGUGGGAAAGGAUGUGGGAUUUCUAAGACAACUAGGAUGUUGGCUUAGAAGCAGCCACUCAUUUAAAGAGUGCGUAAUAGCUCACUAGUCGAGAGAUCCUGCGCCGAAGAUGUAACGGGGCUCAAACUUACCACCGAAGCUAUGGAUGUGUACUUUGUACACGUGGUAGAGGAGCUUUCUGUACAGGUUGAAGUCAUACCGUAAGGAGUGGUGGACAGUACAGAAGUGAGAAUGCUGGCAUAAGUAGCGAAAAACAAGUGAGAAUCUUGUUGACCGAAUAUCUAAGGUUUCCUGGGGAAGGCUCGUCCUCCCAGGGUUAGUCGGGACCUAAGCCGAGGCCGAAAGGCGUAGGUGAUGGACAACUGGUUGAUAUUCCAGUACCACCAUAAUGCGUUUGACAAAUGGGAUGACGCAGGAGGAUAGGAUGUGCGCACUAUUGGAUGUGCGUCUAAGCACUUAGGGUGUUAAGUAGGCAAAUCCGCUUAACAUUAAGCCUGAGGUGUGAUGGGGAGCCUAUUUUGGCGAAGUAUCUGAUUCCACGCUGCCAAGAAAAGUCUCUAUGGAGCAAAGUGGUGCCCGUACCGCAAACCGACACAGGUAGAUGAGGAGAGAAUCCUAAGGUCGUCGGAAGAAUUAUUGCUAAGGAACUCGGCAAAUUGACCCCGUAACUUAGGGAGAAGGGGUGCCUACGAGAGUAGGCCGCAGUGAAUAGGCUCAAGCAACUGUUUAUCAAAAACACAGGUCUCUGCUAAAGCGUAAGCUGAUGUAUAGGGGCUGACGCCUGCCCGGUGCUGGAAGGUUAAGGGGAAUAGUUAGCGCAAGCGAAGCUAUGAACUUAAGCCCCAGUAAACGGCGGCCGUAACUAUAACGGUCCUAAGGUAGCGAAAUUCCUUGUCGGGUAAGUUCCGACCCGCACGAAUGGCGUAAUGAUUUGAGCACUGUCUCGGCAAUAAAUCCGGUGAAAUUGUAGUGCAAGUGAAGAUGCUUGCUACCCGCGGUUGGACGGAAAGACCCCGUAGAGCUUUACUGUAGCUUAGCAUUGAAUUUCGGUAUUGUCUGUACAGGAUAGGUGGGAGACUUAGAAGCGAGGGCGUCAGCUUUCGUGGAGUCGUCCUUGGGAUACCACCCUGACAGUACUGGAAUUCUAACUGGAGGCCAUGAAUCUGGUCACAGGACAUUGCUAGGUGGGCAGUUUGACUGGGGCGG